rnacentral:rRNA from 1 species
UACAGAGGGGGCAAGCGUUGUUCGGAAUUACUGGGCGUAAAGGGCGCGUAGGCGGCCUGCUAAGUCGAACGUGAAAUCCCUGGGCUCAACCCAGGAACUGCGUCCGAUACUGGUUGGCUUGAAUCCGGGAGAGGGAUGUGGAAUCCCAGGUGUAGCGGUGAAAUGCGUAGAUAUCUGGAGGAACACCGGUGGCGAAGGCGACAUCCUGGACCGGUAUUGACGCUGAGGCGCGAAAGCCAGGGGAGCAAACGGG